rnacentral:rRNA from 1 species
UACGUAGGGUGCGAGCGUUGUCCGGAAUUAUUGGGCGUAAAGAGCUCGUAGGCGGUCUGUCGCGUCGGUCGUGAAAACUUGGGGCUUAACCCUGAGCUUGCGGUCGAUACGGGCAUGACUGGAGUUCGGCAGGGGAGACUGGAAUUCCUGGUGUAGCGGUGAAAUGCGCAGAUAUCAGGAGGAACACCCGUGGCGAAAGCGGCUCUCUGGGACGGUACUGACGCUGAGACGCGAAAGCGUGGGGAGCAAACAGG